rnacentral:misc_RNA from 1 species
UAGGAUGUGGAGCUGCCC